rnacentral:sRNA from 1 species
UGGGACUUGAGUUCGUUCUUGAAAAACAGCAAUCGAUAUGUAGAACAUCCAGUGUUGCCAAUCAAAAUAAUUGAAUGAAAUAUAACACAUUAAUCUAUUUAUUUUGAUAAAAAUUUUAUCAAUUGCAAAAAAACAAUGAAGUGAUUAUCUGUCUCACAGGCACAAAGUAUUCCUACUUCAUGUCCAUUAUUCAUCAGCUAUGAUAGGUGAGGGAGGGAAGCAUUUAUGGGUAUUCGUUGCAUCAAAGCACGCAAGCUUAGAUCAAGACGAAAAGGCCGCUUAACAUCUACACAGGAAAAACUCAGCAAAAAUAUUUGAUUUAAACAAAAGAAGAAUUGCAACCGCGAAAAUAUAGGCCUAAUAAACUCAUUCACUCACGAUUCAUGCUGAACUUGCAGCAAUAUUAGCCGGUGAAUUUUAUUAUUCCUGGGAAAAGGAAGUUUUUGCCAUCAACAAUAAAAGAACAAGAAAAGGAGAACAUGCAAAUCAUAACAUUUCAAUAACGCUGAGAAAAUUCAUCAAUCAUUUGGAAGAAAUCAAAAAAAAAGGGGUGAGUGAAUGGCAACAAGUUUUGGAAUUCCAUUAGAGACAAAUUAUCUGUGAUUAUCCAGCCGCCGCCACCGCUGUCACUAUAGCGUCAUCAUCGUCUUCGUCGUCACACAUAAAACCAAAUCCAAACAACAUUCAUUUAACUUAGCCAGGUCAGAAUAACAAACAAAAAAGGAUGAAAAAAGUCAAACCAGUUUAGAACUUUUUACCUACUCAAGAUAAUCGCAGUAGUAAGGCCAGCUAGCAAGAAAAAAAGGAAGAUAUCUCUGCAUUAACAUGACCGACCAUCAGCAACCGCUGCAAAAACCUGCAUUAGUGUUAUAACUAUUUAAUGAUAAACGUGGCCGCAAUUUUCCUUUCCUUUCCAGCAUUGUCAGGCCUGGGAAAUGGCCUGAAAAGCGCAUUAAAAGCUUCUUUACCAUACCACGAACUAUUGCGCAUAUUUUAAACAAAAUCCCUAGGGCUCUCCUUUUCUAUAGCAGCGGGGCAACAGCAGCAACAACACCACCAGCACAGAGAUCAGCAGCAGUAGCCAUUCACUGGCGGAAAAAGUCAACAAAACCAAAGUCACAGCAACUUUGGUUGGAAGCCUUUUGCACUCAAUCCUAAGUCAAGAUAAGGCCAGCAGCCAGCGACGAGUGUGAGCAGCAACAUUUAAUAGCGGUAGCAACAAAAAUUGCAAAUAAAUCACAUGCCCAAUCAUUCACUGCCGCCGCCAAAAAAACAAAGAGAAAAAGUGGCUAGCAUAAAAACCUAAACCUAACUGCUCGAUGAUACAUCGUAAGUACACCUUCAGGAGACCGACCAUUUAUUCAUAAAUACAACAUCAAGUUGCAAUGUCAAUUAUGGGAUGCUUAUUACUCCAGCUUUUGUUUCUUGCAUGAAAAAUUAAAGCAAAAUACAUAAAGAAAAACAAAAUA